rnacentral:rRNA from 2 species
CCCAGACAGCCAGGAUGUUGGCUUAGAAGCAGCCAUCAUUUAAAGAAAGCGUAAUAGCUCACUGGUCGAGUCGGCCUGCGCGGAAGAUGUAACGGGGCUAAACCAUGCACCGAAGCUGCGGCAGCGAACGUAUCACUUAAAGCGAUUCAGCGGGUUACGAUUGACGGAGCGAAGCGACGUCAAAGCGUAUACAAAGUCGAGUCGGUUUAAGGAUACGUUCGUUGGGUAGGGGAGCGUUCUGUAAGCCUGUGAAGGUGGCCUGUGAGGGUUGCUGGAGGUAUCAGAAGUGCGAAUGCUGACAUAAGUAACGAUAAAGCGGGUGAAAAGCCCGCUCGCCGGAAGACCAAGGGUUCCUGUCCAACGUUAAUCGGGGCAGGGUGAGUCGACCCCUAAGGC